rnacentral:lncRNA from 7 species
GAGAGUUUCCCUGCAGACCCUUCUUUCUCCUCUCAUUCGGAAUUGUCCUCUCCCGGCACUGUUGGACUGCCAGACGUUAAUGCCUUGAUGUGUUUGGGGACAGAGUACUGAAGAAAAGGCAAACAACAGAAGAGAAGUUUAUGGCUGGUGAGUGAGAGCUCCGUGGGCCUUUGGGGGUGUUGGCUGAGUCCUCCUCUGCUUUUCUAAGUGUUAAGAGCCUCAUUCUUGACGGCGUGAUGAAGCUGCAUAUUGAUUUCCAUAUUCUGUGCCUUGAUCUGCAUGUCCUGUCUGCAAAGUGCGAGCGAUGGCUUAUGUACCCAGUAACAAAGACAGCUGAUCAAAUAAGGAAAACAGCUAUCAGCAAGUAGUUUGCUGGGUUAGUAACUGUGCUUCAAGAUGGACAGCCUGUACCCCAUGCAGGGGUUGUUUUCGCCUAGAUGGUGCACAUGUGGUGUAUGUACGUACCUGGAAAGGAUAUCCUGGGUACUUGGUCAAGGCUGGUCUGUUAUGAUUUAAAUUUCUUUAUCAGCCAGUGUUGUUUAAUAGCAGCAGUGAGUAGCAAAGCAUUGAGUCAGCCAGGCUGCGGGGCUUAAGCUGCGCUCUCCUCCCCAUGCGUUGGGACUCCGUGCCUGAGCUGCAGUUUGCUCAUCAGUCAUCCCAUGGGCUAUAGACCACAUGGCAUGGAGGAGCACAGGCAGAAGAAGCACAGGACGUGGCACCCAGCGUUCCAGCGUGCUGUGCCUGAUGUGGCCUGCUCCCCAGAUGCAGCCUGAUGCCUUGGCUCCUUCCUUUGCCACGUGACCCAGUAGGCCAGAUGGGGCCCCUUUCCCUUGUCCCAACAUAACCUCCUGUCUGACACGUGAGAUGUUAUUUUUCAUCUGAGUUUUUGCAGACAGAGCUCGAAAUGUUGAUAUUCUAAUCUUGGUAACAUCUUUAUGCUGACUUUGAGUGGAGGCUGAAGCUCCAUAGCUACAUCCUGCUUUCUGCAAGAGCUUUUAUAUACGUUCCAGAAGGAGUUUGGUCUGGUAUGGCUAAAACACACCUAGAAGCGUGGCACCGAGCAGCAUCCAAGCAACCUUCAUAGAUAGGCAUUCCCUGUAUUUUAGGCUUCGGUCCUCAUUUGCGAGCAAGGAAAUGGAGCAGGGGAGAAAGAGACAGCACCAUAGGCUUCCUGACCCCAUUCAGUGGUGCAAAAACUGUCGAGCAGUUGUGUUCCUUUUCCUCGUUUGUCUGAAAUAAACCAGGCAAUAUAACG